UGUCUGUCUGGUAGGAAUCAUUAGACUGGAAUGGUACACAACCUACAUCAUCAGUUCUGGGAGUGAGAAUGCCUUUUUGAUGAGAGAGGUCAGAGGUCAGAGGUCAGACCUGUUUGAGUUGACAGAAAAGCUCCGAUAGCUCAAAUAUUCACUCUUUAUAUUCGCAGAGAGCAGAAAAGCAUGUUGUUUCUGCUGUCUGACGCUGAAUGUGAAUAAAAGUUGUCCCUAUUAAUGUGGCCGAUGACAAGAGAGAUACCUACAGGCAUAUAAAAUACAUACAUAGACAUAUGGUAUUAGUUAGAUGCAUGUCACAGGCAACACACACACACACACACACACACACACACACACACACACACACACACACACACACACACAGAGUUCAGCCGAUUUAUCAUAAUGUGCUUUAUCUGAAAAGUAAGUAUCUUACCUCGGGAUAAAGAGAGGAAACAGCGAUUUGGACUCAGAUUGACAGCAGAGGACAGGAUAGACAGAACGAGGCAGUUGCUCAGAGAGAGAGAAGGAUUGAUAAUGAAAGAGAGAGGAAAAAAGAGAGUUUAUUCUAUGAAAAGCACAAACGUUCUCGCCUGAGGUUUGAGCAGGGACAAUAUGCAGCGACUCUCAUGAUCAGAUUAUUGAUCUAUGAAUAGCCGUGAAUGGACAGAUCACAGAUGGAUGGAUCGAUAGAGAAAUGAUAGGGAAAAGAAGAAUCUGGUGGAGGGCAGAAAUACAUAAAACAGGCACCAGAAGACUUGUUCAGGUGGACAGGAAAAUAAAGAUGAAGAUGGACAUCUACUCAGGAGCAAUCAAACAAGCAGACUGAAGCCAAGAUUCAUCCUUCGACAUGUAGAUAUAGUUAAAUAUGGUGUUAAACCCAACUGCACUCUCUCACACAGACCAACACCCCCACCCACCACCACCACCACAGACACACACACACACACACACACACACACACACACACACACACACACACACACUCACAAUGGUCCUCUGAUACUUAAUUGGCUCUGUAAUCUUAUGGAAUGUGUCUUAUUAGCACACACUGGUGAACAAGCUCUUACCCAACCACACAAUAGAGCUCUGUUACACACACACACACACACACACACACACACACACACACACACACACACACACUGCAAAAGCAUUGUGUGGCAUGAAAUCAUAAAAUUAACAUUCUCUUAUAGUUUGUCAUCACACACACACACACACACACACACACACUAAUACUACUACUAAUAAUAAUAAUAAUAACAAUAAUAAUAUUAAUAAUAAUAAUAAUAAUAAUAAUAAUAAUUCAUAUUAAAUGUUAAAAUUUAAACUAGCAUUAUAGCAAACAGGCUAAUGCUCCAACAAACUAGCAGUGAACGGUGUAACAUUUAAAUGUGUGUGUGUGUGUGUGUGUGUGUGUGUGUGUGUGUGUGUGUGUGUGUGUGUGUGAUUAAGAUUGACAGAGCGCUGGGUGGCAGAUUUCUCCAACCCGUUUUAGACGGACUAAUCUGGUUUAGCAAACAACAGUGUGUCAGCAGUGAUAUAGUUCCAUCCCUCCACACACACACACACACACACACACACACACACACACACACACACACACACACACACCUCAGUACUAAGAAAGAAGUUAAUAAUAUGCAUAAUUGCAACAAUCACACGCUACAAUAAAGUACAGACUUUAUUCUCAUUUUGUUUCUUAUUUUUUUGUUUCCGUAGCAACCAGAUACUCGAUAUCGAACCUGAAACCAGGAAGUUGUAAUAACCAAUCAAUGACACAAACACUAUGAGACACGUUUUAUAAUUGUCUGGCUACCUGUCUGCUAACUGAUACAUUCUGAGGGACGUCUGACCGAUGAGGACACAGGAGACAUCAUUGAGACACGGUUUCAGUCAUGUAAAUGAGACCCAAACUAUGUUCCAAGGACCCAUGAAGAUCUGCUUUCCAUGGGUUUGAUGGAAGAUCUCCUGCUAUAGAGCUCUAUAACCCUGUAGACCACCUGAGGGAUGAAAGUGAAUGCUGACUGCACCUCAGACCUCCUUCACCCCACACAAACCCCCACCUGAAGUUCUGAAAUAAUAUCAUUGCAUAUUUAUUGUACGGUAAAAGUUCAGAAUCCAAUCGAAUUUAAUCAGAUUUUGUAGCAUCAGACACAAUAAAGUUUAUUUUACCUUAACCAA